UUAACAUUCGGUUUCACUCACUGGUCUCUGUAAACAUGUAAAAAAUGGCGGAAUUUAGGCAUGUUGAAGGAAAAACAGUGCAAAGGAGUCAUUCAUCCUCUAAGCGAUUCUGCACAGGCCUUAUGAAGAUCACAGAUAUAUUUGUUACACUGCGAUGCAGAGGUGGUUUCUGAAGGCGAGAUGUCAUCAAACAGGGUCAACAAAGUGACCGCAAACCCUCGCAGAUAUAGAAAUUAUAACUUGACGUCUGUCUCCCACACACAGCCGCUGAAUCUUGGCUCUCUGUGGUCCAUGGAGCAAAGAAGUUCAAGGCGACCCACCAGCUGUCUUGAUAAUAUGUGGACAUAUGAAGGAGAGACAGUAAAUAAGUAAAAGAACAAAGGAGGAAAGCCAAAGAAAGUCAGUGAAGUCGCAGAAGCAAGAACACAAAGAAGGAGGGGAAACGAUGUGUAAGAGAUGUGAUUCAAGCAGACAUUUGUUCCCCUUGGGCGAGCUUGAUAGGCCAUUCUGUCUGAAUUGGGGGGGAAUGCUAGAGAACCCCGCUGGUGUUGGAUUUUGGCUGCUGUGGUACAACAGCAGAUUGAAAAAGUGAAAAUAUUUAAGAGAAGGUCAGCAUUAAAGCAGCAGCAACCCUCUCUGUUUCCACCCAGGACGGAACAGAUGUGCUCACAACCCCAGCUGUUGCCAGAUGUGGAUAUAGGACCAUCUGUAUGAGCUGUUACUGUGUGUGUAUGUGUGACUGCGUGUGUUUAAAAAAAAAGAAAAAACAGGCACUAAAAGCUGCUGCAUGAGUCAAAGUGAGUAAUGUCGCUAUUUUUUGAUUUGAGUCUGACACCUACCUCUCCAAUUACCCCCCGUCAGGAUUAUUGUAGCUGCUGAUAGCCUCAAGGUGAAUGUUGGCUGUUUUAUGGGAGAAAAAACAGCUCAAUGUUUAAUUACUGGAACAUAGUUUGGAGUGUAUACAUACACUUUCAGCAUCUUGUCACAGUUCUGCAUUAAAAAGCAGAUCAUAAAAUGUUUCUGCACAAACACA